rnacentral:rRNA from 1 species
UACGUAGGGGGCAAGCGUUCUCCGGAUUUACUGGGUGUAAAGGGAGCGUAGACGGAGAGACAAGUCUGAUGUGAAAUCCCACGGCUCAACCGUGGAACUGCAUUGGAAACUGCCUGUCUUGAGUACCGGAGGGGUGAGCGGAAUUCCUGGUGUAGCGGUGAAAUGCGCAGAUAUCAGGAAGAACACCGGCGGCGAAGGCGGCUCACUGGACGGUAACUGACGUUGAGGCUCGAAAGCGUGGGGAG